CUGCUGUCUGUCUUGCCUUUUUGGUUAUUAAUGCUGUUGAAACAUCUGCUUCUCAGAAACAGACUCCUAUUUGCCCGUCACUAUUUUUCAUACUCCUCAGUUAUUCUACCUCCACGCAGUGCAGGAAGAUUAGAGAAGACAGUGUUCUAAGUGACAGUGUGGGGCGAGACUUCACAAAAUCAAAAAUACUGGUAGAUUUGAUAAAUGGCUAUUAAUGAUGAAUCCAGCAAAAAAAAAUUCUUGAGCACGUACAAAGGGAAGCUCUGGAAGUGGAACUCCUUUCUUACUGGCUGCUUGGGUCGUUUCUUAUAUUCUAAAGACUCGAGAGUGAGUGAUGACUUUGGCUGUGGGCCUCUGGUGGGAAAUUAUGUAAAUCAUAGUAAUCAGCCAUACUCUGUGUUCUGGCCUUUUCCAGGGUGAACUUACAGCCGGGGCUCAUUAAAAUUGGGUGAAGCAAACCAUUGAAUACUUUUUUUUUUUUUUUUAAACACAAAUCAUACUGAUUAGUAAGAGGACUCAAGCUUGAAAGCGAUAGUUUUUUCCAAACUUCAGAUUUUAAGAAAUUAAUGUCUCCUUGGUAGGUUUUCAGAAUUUAGUUAUUCUUAUAUUGGGAAAGUAACUUUAAUAUCCAGAUGUUACUAAAUAAUGGAGGUCUAUUUUCUUUGUGGGAUCUUAGUGCCCAACCAGGGGUUGAACCCACACCCUCUGCAUUGGAAGGAUAAUUAAACACUCGACUGCCAGGGAAGUCCUGUAGGUCUGUUUUCUUUUUUUAAUUCUUGCCUGAUCUACUUAUAGCAAAAUCCUAAUUUAAAUUCAACUUUUACUCAUCAAAUGCCAACACUCUACUAGGUACCUGCCAUAGAAUAAUGAAAAAAGCAGGCAUUUUCCCAGUUCUUGGAGCAUUCAGUCUAACUGGAAAUGGGGUGAUAGUCAAAAUAAAACAAGCAAGGCCAGUGAUCGAGUGAGAUAAGUUUUAGUUGUAGAAAUAUGGAGCAGAUAUUCUCAUGAGUCACACUUAGUAGUUAACCCCAUGUGUUACAUUCAGUAGGUCCUUUUUGAUUGUCUAUUUGAUAUAUAUUUGGCUUCCCAGGUGGCUCAGUGAUAAGGAAUCUGCCUGCCAGUGUAGGAGACCUGAGUUUGAUCUCAGACUGGGAAACGGCAAACCCACUUGCCUGGGAAAUCCCAUGGACAGAGGAGCCUGGUGGACUAGUCUGUAGGACUGCAAAGUUGGACAUGACUUAGCAGCUAAACAACAACAAACCCCAUGUGUUAUAUUUAGUAGGUCCUUUUUGAUUAUCUAUUUGACACAUAUGAGUGUGUAUAUUUAGCUCUCCUUGAAUAUUUACUUGCAUUGCUCCUCUCCAGCCCCUUCCUGAUUAGGAAUUUCUCCUUCAGAGUUAUCCCUUGAGCAGAAGGUUCCCUUAGCUCAUCAAGAAGUCUUGAGACUUCCCUGGUGGUCCAGUGGUUAAGACUUUGCCUUCCAAUGGAAGCUAAGAUCCCUCAUGCCUUGUGACCAAAAAUCCAAAACAUAAGACAGAAACAAUGUUGUAACAAAUUCAAUAAAGACUUUAAAAAUGAGCCACAUCCAAAAAAAAAAUCUUAAAAAAAAUUUUUAAGUCUUUUAUUCUGUGACUCCUGUCUGAACUGGACCUGUAGAACGUAUGGGAA
ensembl:lncRNA